rnacentral:lncRNA from 1 species
AGAAAAUAACACAAUAUUGAAGUAUUAAUGCAUUCUUAAAUGAUCUUCAAAUAUGAUCAUUAUAUCUAGAGAUAUUCCAAAAAUAUUCAGUGAAAGGAGGAAUCGGUCUUUUUUACCUAGUAUCACUGCCAUGGAAAGACGAUAUCACUGGAUGGGUGUCCUGGCAGCUCUUUCUUUCCUGGAACAUUGCACAUGCCCUGCUUUAAAUGAAGGAAGCUUUUACUUUAGGCACUUAGUGUUUUUUGAAUAUGCUUUCUCAUCCUUUCACGUGAUAAAAUUGAUGUUAGACUGGGAACAAUCUAGAUCCCUUUGACAGGAUAUGCCAGAGGUGGGAAGAAAAAGUGGUUCAAGAAAGGAUGAAUUUGAAAAAGGAUGGGUUAGAAGAAAUGGGGAGUAAAGUUCCCAGUUAAUUUAUAGCUGGAAAUAGUCACAAACCAAUUCUUCAAGUCCACAGGCCAGAGGUAUCCCUGGAGUCCACCCAGAUCUGUUGCAAGUGAGCCCAGAAUCAAUGGAGGCCUCCCCCCAGGGAAGAGCCUAUAUUGAACUCACCCUUGCAUCUCCAGCAGCUGAAGGCAUUUAAUACAUUCUGGUCUGGUGGGUGGGUGAGUUAAAAGACAAGCAUGGACAGAAAGGGCCCUAGUUAAGUCCGUGGAGAUUUUAGAAGCUUUUUGGAUCUGGAUUUCUAAUUUUGUUCAUCCUCAAAAAGCCUGGCAUCAUGUAACUUGGUGUCAGAGUUGUGUUUCAUUCAGGAAGCACAUUUCAACAGCCAUAAAAAAUUAAAAAGUAAAUUUUAUCUUUAUGUCUUUGAGAAAUCCGUAAUUACUCCACAAUAAACUUACUAAAAUGCUGUGUCAAAACUCUAGUCACUUUCCUCAUUCAGCUCCGUCAUGUAAGCUCUCCAACCUUACCUCCCACAAAGCCAAGUUUCCCUCUCCUUCCUUUCUUCUCAUUCAGCCUAUUAUUAUGUGAUCUGCUUAGUAUCUCUUCCAG